GCACUGCUGAGGAGUCACAACAGACCUGAUUGAACUCCACUGGUCACAGUCCCACAAUAGGACGAAACGGCCGUCCAGUGC
rnacentral:hammerhead_ribozyme from 1 species